rnacentral:rRNA from 1 species
UACGGGGGGGGCAAGCGUUGUUCGGAAUUACUGGGCGUAAAGAGCUCGUAGGCGGUUUGUCACGUCUGCUGUGAAAUCCCGAGGCUCAACCUCGGGCCUGCAGUGGGUACGGGCAGACUGGAGUGCGGUAGGGGAGAAUGGAAUUCCUGGUGUAGCGGUGGAAUGCGCAGAUAUCAGGAGGAACACCGAUGGCGAAGGCAGGUCUCUGGGCCACUACUGACGCUGAGAAGCGAAAGCAUGGGGAGCGAACAGG